AUUGAACGCUGGCGGCAUGCCUUACACAUGCAAGUCGAACGGUAACAGGUCUUCGGAUGCUGACGAGUGGCGAACGGGUGAGUAAUACAUCGGAACGUGCCUAGUAGUGGGGGAUAACUACUCGAAAGAGUGGCUAAUACCGCAUGAGAUCUACGGAUGAAAGCAGGGGAUCGCAAGACCUUGUGCUACUAGAGCGGCCGAUGGCAGAUUAGGUAGUUGGUGGGAUAAAAGCUUACCAAGCCGACGAUCUGUAGCUGGUCUGAGAGGACGAUCAGCCACACUGGGACUGAGACACGGCCCAGACUCCUACGGGAGGCAGCAGUGGGGAAUUUUGGACAAUGGCGAAAGCCUGAUCCAGCAAUGCCGCGUGCAGGAUGAAGGCCUUCGGGUUGUAAACUGCUUUUGUACGGAACGAAAAGCCCCGGGUUAAUACCCUGGGGUCAUGACGGUACCGUAAGAAUAAGCACCGGCUAACUUCGUGCCAGCAGCCGCCGUAA
rnacentral:rRNA from 1 species